UACAGAGGGGGCAAGCGUUAUUCGGAAUCACUGGGCGUAAAGGGCGCGUAGGCGGCUUUAUAAGUCGGGGGUGAAAGCCUGUGGCUCAACCACAGAAUUGCCUUCGAUACUGUAGAGCUUGAGACCGGAAGAGGUAAGUGGAACUGCGAGUGUAGAGGUGAAUUUCGUAGAUAUUCGCAAGAACACCAGUGGCGAAGGCGGCUUACUGGUCCGGUUCUGACGCUGAGGCGCGAAAGCGUGGGGAGCAAACAGG
rnacentral:rRNA from 1 species